UAAGGAAUAUUGGUCAAUGGACGCAAGUCUGAACCAGCCAUGCCGCGUGAAGGAUGAAGGUCCUCUGGAUUGUAAACUUCUUUUAUCUGGGACGAAAACGGGAUUUUUAUCUCAAUUGACGGUACCAGAGGAAUAAGCACCGGCUAACUCCGUGCCAGCAGCCGCGGUAAUACGGAGGGUGCGAGCGUUAUCCGGAUUUACUGGGUUUAAAGGGUGCGUAGGUGGGCUUAUAAGUCAGUGGUGAAAUCUCCGAGCGUAACUUGGAAACUGCCGUUGAUACUAUAGGUCUUGAAUUAUCUGGAGGUAAGCGGAAUAUGUCAUGUAGCGGUGAAAUGCUUAGAUAUGACAUAGAACACCAAUUGCGAAGGCAGCUUACUACAUAUAAAUUGACGCUGAGGCACGAAAGCGUGGGGAUCAAA
rnacentral:rRNA from 1 species